rnacentral:rRNA from 1 species
UGGGGAAUAUUGGACAAUGGGCGCAAGCCUGAUCCAGCCAUGCCGCGUGAGUGAUGAAGGCCUUAGGGUUGUAAAGCUCUUUCGCCGGUGAAGAUAAUGACGGUAACCGGAGAAGAAGCCCCGGCUAACUUCGUGCCAGCAGCCGCGGUAAUACGAAGGGGGCUAGCGUUGCUCGGAAUCACUGGGCGUAAAGCGCACGUAGGCGGAUCGUUAAGUCAGGGGUGAAAUCCUGGAGCUCAACUCCAGAACUGCCCUUGAUACUGGCGAUCUCGAGUUCGAGAGAGGUUGGUGGAACUCCGAGUGUAGAGGUGAAAUUCGUAGAUAUUCGGAAGAACACCAGUGGCGAAGGCGGCCAACUGGCUCGAUACUGACGCUGAGGUGCGAAAGCGUGGGGAGCAAAACAGGAUUAGAUACCCUGGUAGUCCACGCCGUAAACGAUGGAUGCUAGCCGUUGGGGGGUUUACCUCUCAGUGGCGCAGCUAACGCCUUAAGCAUCCCGCCUGGGGAGUACGGUCGCAAGAUUAAAACUCAAAGGAAUUGACGGGGUCAU